GACGAACCACACAAACGUUAUUCGGAAUUACUGGGCUUAAAGGGUGCGUAGGCGGCGCGGAAAGUAGGGUGUGAAAUCCCUCAGCUUAACUGAGGAACUGCGCUCUAAACUACCGUGCUUGAGGGAGAUAGAGGAGAGCGGAACUUAGGGUGGAGCGGUGAAAUGCGUUGAUAUCCUAAGGAACACCGGUGGCGAAAGCGGCUCUCUGGAUCUCUUCUGACGCUGAGGCACGAAAGCUAGGGGAGCGAACGGG
rnacentral:rRNA from 1 species